ensembl:lncRNA
GAAAAGAUAAUUGUUCUAUGAUUCUUUAAUUUUUUUCAUUUAACACUUUUGUUGCAUAUAUUUCCUGUUCCAAAAACUACAUCAUGUCACAAAAUAGUGCGCAUGAUAAAAAUAGCCUCUGUCUUCACAAAUCACACAGCCUAGAGGGGCUGAGAGAGAUUUAUAAAGUUAAAAAAAUACUUAUGGAUUGGUCUAUGUGCCUGACGUCCUGGAAACAAAAAGGAUGCAGAGUUAGGCAGCACUGCAGAGGGACCUAGUUCAGCUAGUUCAGAGAGUGAUUCACACUGGGUUUCCCAGAAGUCGACACGGAGAAGAGCUUGUGAGUGAGAGCCAUGUGUUAUGAAGUCUUCUCAGGACAACCCGUAUGACUCAAUUUUGGUGAGAAAUGCGUGUUUUGGCUGCUCCUCAAGAACAAAGCCUGUUGUUGAUGAGGACUUGGGACAGCGUGCUCUCCUUCCCGCCAAAGACCGCUGUCCUGUCUUCCCAAAUCCGUCUGCUCUGGCACAGGAAGGAACACUAAGCUCAACACGUAUGUGUCAGAUAUGCGGCACUGUGUCUGCAGCAGCCCAGCCAUCUGCAGGAGGCCGGAUCUGCCAGCUUGUCACCAGGCAGGGAAAUCCAUUUCACACUUGGUGAAAAUUUUCGCAUCCUCCCCCACUUACCAGUUGGAAGUUCUUUCUCUGAUUAAGCGUUCUGGGGGUUUAUGACCAAUGCAGCCCUAUUUUUCAAGUGAGAGUUAAGAUCUCAUGUUUCACAAAGUAGUCCCUUUGUGUGACCCUUGAGUAUUUACUGAGGACAAUGCACAUAGGUUGAGGUGAGAAAGAAAUUUUAUCAGGUAGGAGUUUUUUAAAAAAUCAGGAGGAGUUUUAAAUUUAAUUGUGUCUGGUUCCACUCUCAGAUAUUCUGGUGUAAUUGGUAGGGGCUGUGGCCUAGGCAUCAGGAUUUUUAAAAUUCUGCCCCUUCCCCAACUCAGGCAAUUCUAAUGUACCAGAAAAUUAGAAAGCCACUAAUUGAGAAAGGGCUUCUCAAACUUUAGUUUGCAUCGGCAUCACCUGGGCGUCUGAUUUAAAUAAAGAUUCUGACUCAGUGGGCCUGGGGUCAGCCUGAGAGUCUUAAUUUCUAAUAAGCUCCCAGGUGAUGCUGAUAUAGUUGGUCUGCAGACCACACUUUGUGUGGCAAGGCUAUUAAGUAGAAUAUCCUUCAAACUGGAAUAUAGGCCUCCUCCUUGUUUGCUCAGAGAAUGAAUUCAAGGCUCAGCUUAAGUACCCUUUGCUUCUCAAAGACCUCCUUAGCUUCUUUUGCCAUCCCCUUCCCCUCAGUAGAAGUGACCACUCCCUUCAUUUGCCUUUGCUUGAACUGGCACAAAUAUCUCCUGCAGCCCUUAGUCUCUGCUCCUCCCAGACUCUGAGCCUCUUGAAGUCCAGAUGUGUUCCAGAUUCCUUCUGAGUCCCUUUGCAGUCAAUGCUCACAACUCUAUCGAAUGAAUGGGUAUGACUCACCUGCUCUACCUACCCAGCCUCAUUUCUCUUCAUAACUGUUAUGGUUAUUUGUUUGUUGCCUGUCUUCCCACACUAGAAUGCAAGUCCCAAAAGGAAAAUAAUUUUUAUUUUUUUGUUCCCUGUUCUAUCUGCAGUGGCCUGGAACAUAGUAGAUGUUCAAUAAAUAUUUAUUGAAUGAAUGAAUGAGCAUUAGACAGGCACUGAAUCCAAUUUAAUGUAAUAUCUAACCACAGAUGAUCAGGCACUUGUCGUUUAUUGGGCUGGCGAAGAUGGCAAGUGUAAUGGGAGUGGAAAAUUAGGUGGGAGGCAGGUGUAAGAGAGAGGGGAGACAAAUCUAUAGGAAGCUGCCAGGCAACAUCAAGAAGUCUAAGCUCACUUGUGCAUUUUGAGAGCUGUUCACCUGUUUUAGGGCCAGUUAGGGUCUAACACCCAGGUCAAGGACUGGCUAGAGGGAGACCUUCAUCCUCAGGGUCUGAGGAACAGUUCAGAUUCCUCGAGUAAAGACUUUGAGUGUGAAGCAGAGGGGAAGUGGCAAGUUGCCUCUAACACAAUGUCAUAGAAGCCAUCACUAGUUCAUUCAUUCACUUCUUUAUCCUUUCCAUUAAUAUUUGUUGAUCUCACUGAACAAGACUGUGUCUUGUCUGCAGACAUUCAGCUGCUAGGAGAACACCUGACUGUUCU